rnacentral:rRNA from 1 species
UUGACGAACGCUGGCGGCGUGCUUAACACAUGCAAGUCGAACGGAAAGGCCCUGCUUUUGUGGGGUGCUCGAGUGGCGAACGGGUGAGUAACACGUGAGUAACCUGCCCUUGACUUUGGGAUAACUUCAGGAAACUGGGGCUAAUACCGGAUAGGAGCUCCUGCUGCAUGGUGGGGGUUGGAAAGUUUCGGCGGUUGGGGAUGGACUCGCGGCUUAUCUGCUUGUUGGUGGGGUAGUGGCUUACCAAGGCUUUGACGGGUAGCCGGCCUGAGAGGGUGACCGGCCACAUUGGGACUGAGAUACGGCCCAGACUCCUACGGGAGGCAGCAGUGGGGAAUAUUGCACAAUGGGCGGAAGCCUGAUGCAGCAACGCCGCGUGCGGGAUGACGGCCUUCGGGUUGUAAACCGCUUUCGCCUGUGACGAAGCGUGAGUGACGGUAAUGGGUAAAGAAGCACCGGCUAACUACGUGCCAGCAGCCGCGGUGAUACGUAGGGUGCGAGCGUUGUCCGGAUUUAUUGGGCGUAAAGGGCUCGUAGGUGGUUGAUCGCGUCGGAAGUGUAAUCUUGGGGCUUAACCCUGAGCGUGCUUUCGAUACGGGUUGACUUGAGGAAGGUAGGGGAGAAUGGAAUUCCUGGUGGAGCGGUGGAAUGCGCAGAUAUCAGGAGGAACACCAGUGGCGAAGGCGGUUCUCUGGGCCUUCCCUGACGCUGAGGAGCGAAAGCGUGGGGAGCGAACAGGCUUAGAUACCCUGGUAGUCCACGCUGUAAACGGUGGGUACUAGGUGUGGGGUCCAUUCCACGGGUUCCGUGCCGUAGCUAACGCUUUAAGUACCCCGCCUGGGGAGUACGGCCGCAAGGCUAAAACUCAAAGGAAUUGACGGGGCCCCGCACAAGCGGCGGAGCAUGCGGAUUAAUUCGAUGCAACGCGUAGAACCUUACCUGGGUUUGACAUGGAUCGGGAGUGCUCAGAGAUGGGUGUGCCUCUUUUGGGGUCGGUUCACAGGUGGUGCAUGGCUGUCGUCAGCUCGUGUCGUGAGAUGUUGGGUUAAGUCCCGCAACGAGCGCAACCCUUGUUCACUGUUGCCAGCACGUUAUGGUGGGGACUCAGUGGAGACCGCCGGGGUCAACUCGGAGGAAGGUGGGGAUGACGUCAAGUCAUCAUGCCCCUUAUGUCCAGGGCUUCACGCAUGCUACAAUGGCUGGUACAGAGAGUGGCGAGCCUGUGAGGGUGAGCGAAUCUCGGAAAGCCGGUCUCAGUUCGGAUUGGGGUCUGCAACUCGACCUCAUGAAGUCGGAGUCGCUAGUAAUCGCAGAUCAGCAACGCUGCGGUGAAUACGUUCCCGGGGCUUGUACACACCGCCCGUCAAGUCAUGAAAGUUGGUAACACCCGAAGCCGGUGGCCUAACCGUUGUGGGGGAGCCGUCGAAGGUGGGACUG